GAUACAAUAGCCUAGUGGACAUGGCAUCUGCCCGGUAAGCGGAACACUGUGGGUUCGAUUCCCAUCCCUGGACACUUUUAUUU
rnacentral:tRNA from 1 species